rnacentral:rRNA from 1 species
AGAGUUUGAUCCUGGCUCAGGAUGAACGCUAGCGGCAGGCCUAACACAUGCAAGUCGAGGGGCAGCAGACUACUUCGGUGGUGCUGGCGACCGGCGAACGGGUGAUUAAUGCGUUUGUAACCUACCCCUAACUGUGGCAUAGCUCCCGGAAACGGGAAUUAAUUCCACAUAAUAUUUAAACAUGGCAUCAUGUUUUCAUUAAAGCUCCGGCGGUUAGGGAUGGGCAUGCGUGACAUUAGCUUGUUGGUAAGGUAACGGCUUACCAAGGCUACGAUGUCUCGGGGGUCUGAGAGGAUGAUCCCCCACACUGGUACUGAGACACGGACCAGACUCCUACGGGAGGCAGCAGUGAGGAAUAUUGGGCAAUGGACGCAAGUCUGACCCAGCCAUGCCGCGUGCAGGAUGAAUGCCCUAUGGGUUGUAAACUGCUUUUAUACAGGAAGAAACCCUCUGACGUGUCAGAGGUUGACGGUACUGUACGAAUAAGCAUCGGCUAACUCCGUGCCAGCAGCCGCGGUAAUACGGAGGAUGCAAGCGUUAUCCGGAUUUAUUGGGUUUAAAGGGUGCGUAGGCGGGGCAAUUAGUCAGUGGUGAAAUCCUGCGGCUUAACCGUAGAACUGCCAUUGAUACUGUUGCCCUUGAGUAUAGUUGAGGUGGGCGGAAUGUGUAAUGUAGCGGUGAAAUGCAUAGAGAUUACACAGAACACCAAUUGCGAAGGCAGCUCACUAAGCUAUAACUGACGCUGAGGCACGAAAGCGUGGGGAGCGAACAGGAUUAGAUACCCUGGUAGUCCACGCUGUAAACGAUGAUCACUCGUUGUUGGCAAUAUAUCGUCAGCGACUAAGCGAGAGCAUUAAGUGAUCCACCUGGGGAGUACGAUCGCAAGAUUGAAACUCAAAGGAAUUGACGGGGGCCCGCACAAGCGGAGGAACAUGUGGUUUAAUUCGAUGAUACGCGAGGAACCUUACCUGGGCUUAAAUGCAGAACGACGUACCGGGAAACUGGUAUUCCCUUCGGGGCGGACUGCAAGGUGCUGCAUGGCUGUCGUCAGCUCGUGCCGUGAGGUGUCGGGUUAAGUCCCAUAACGAGCGCAACCCCUAUCGUUAGUUGCCAGCGGAUAAUGCCGGGGACUCUAACGAAACUGCCUGUAAACUGUGAGGAAGGUGGGGAUGACGUCAAGUCAGCACGGCCCUUAUGUCCAGGGCUACACACGUGUUACAAUGGCCGGAACAGAGGGCAGCUACCUGGUGACAGGAUGCAAAUCUCAAAAUCCGGUCUCAGUUCGGAUCGAAGUCUGCAACUCGACUUCGUGAAGGUGGAUUCGCUAGUAAUCGCGCAUCAGCAACGGCGCGGUGAAUACGUUCCCGGGCCUUGUACACACCGCCCGUCAAGCCAUGGAAGCUGGGGGUACCUGAAGUCUGC